rnacentral:rRNA from 1 species
UACAGAGGGUGCAAGCGUUAAUCGGAAUUACUGGGCGUAAAGCGUGCGUAGACGGUUACAUAAGUCGGGUGUGAAGGCCCCGGGCUCAACCUGGGAAUUGCAUUCGAGACUGCGUAGCUAGGGUGCGGAAGAGGGAAGCGGAAUUUCCGGUGUAGCGGUGAAAUGCGUAGAUAUCGGAAGGAACACCAGUGGCGAAAGCGGCUUCCUGGUCCAGCACCGACGUCAGGCACGAAAGCGUGGGGAGCAAACAGGG